ACCUCAAAUCGGGUAGGACUACCCGCUGAACUUAAGCAUAUCAAUAAGCGGAGGAAAAGAAACUAACAAGGAUUCCCCUAGUAACUGCGAGUGAAGAGGGAUAAGCUCAAAUUUAAAAUCUGGCGGUCUUUGGCCGUCCGAGUUGUAAUUUAGAGAAGUGUUACCCGCGCUGGACCGUGUACAAGUCUCCUCGAACGGAGCAUCAUAGAGGGUGAGAAUCCCGUACAUGACACGGACUGCCAGGGCUUUGUGGUGCGCUCUCGACGAGUCGAGUUGUUUGGGAAUGCAGCUCAAAAUGGGUGGUAAAUUCCAUCUAAAGCUAAAUACAGGCGAGAGACCGAUAGCGAACAAGUACCGUGAGGGAAAGAUGAAAAGAACUUUGGAAAGAGAGUUAAACAGUACGUGAAAUUGUUGAAAGGGAAACGCUUGAAGUCAGUCGCGUCCUUCAAAGAUCAACCUGGCCUUUUCGCUUGGUGCACUCUUUGGAGGACGGGUCAGCAUCAGUUUCGACCGGGAGAAAAAGUUGGUGGGGAGGUGGCACCUUCGGGUGUGUUAUAACCCNCNUGCAUAUAUCNUGGUUGGGACUGAGGAACGCGGCACGCCGAAAGGCCGGACU
rnacentral:rRNA from 2 species